ensembl:lncRNA
CCGCCCUGCCUUGUGCAGAACCUUAUCUUCCAGCACCUCCUUUUGUUGAGACGGGAGCCACGAGGUUUCGUGUGGUUGUAACUGCUGUAUUAUAGAUCUGCUCCCGGUGCAGUUACAAUGUAUUGUACUGUCCGGAGAAAGAAUAACACUAAAUGCUAAAACCAUGCAAGGGCAACUUAUUUAUGUAUUUAUUUUUUGCUAAUUUAUUUCCGUUGUGCAGGGAAUGCUGAUACAGAAUGCAGAUUAUGACAUUUUAUUAUUAAUGAUAAUAAGCCUUUUUUUUAAGUGGAUGUAAAAGCAACAAAAAAAUGAAAACAAAGUGCUUAUUUGCCGGUUAAGAGAAAUUAUUUUGACUUUGCUGUAUGAGUUUACUUUAUUUCACAGAUUAUGAUAGAUAUGUUUUUAAAUGUUAUAACAAGUCACUUUAUUUGUUGGGUUUUUAACCUUUUUUUACGUACACUACGGGAGCCUGAGGACAUUGUCUCUCUUUGAAUGUUGAAUGCCUUUUGAAUCUUCUAAUAUGUUAACUCUGAGGCGCGGGGCGCGACAGACCGCACAGGCGUGUUUUAGAUUGUCAGUUAAAGUGGACCGGGCCUACCCAGCUUCCUAGUAAAACACGGUGUUUGAACGGAGUAAUGCGCAGCUCACCAAGUCUGAAAAAAAAAAAAACGAAAAAAGAAAAACACUCCGCUCUAAUGACACACCCGGAGGCCCGAUUUCCCGCAGCCGGGGUUGCAAGAAUGGGCGGGAAAUUGGGCCCAAUCUGGCAACACUUACGGAAGGGCGUGUUGUCGGAUGCGGGAUAUGGAGGACGUUCGCUCAGAGGAGCGUGUGUUUAAAGUAUGGUCCUUUGCUUUUUCUUUUGCAUGCAUAGAGUCUGUCACCGAACGCUAGUCACUAUUAGAGAACGCCACCACGUGAAGCGAGAAAAGCACUUGAAUUGUUGUGAUGCCAUGAAAAAAAAACAAAAAAACACGUGUCUUUAUUAUUUCAGCGGCCGCACUAACCGACGAAUACAAAAAAGCCUGCUCGGUUUUCAUAGUUUCGUCGGAGCGGUGUUUCUGUGUCGCACAUGGAUUGUGAAGGGACAUGAAAGGAUGGUGAACACGCUUUGAUGGUCCAUCUACUGUGUUGUUACUGUUGCUGCGGUGCUUUUUAACCCCAGGACCCACAGCCAACUCCAGCUUCAGCGGCUGGGUUCUGUCCUCCACCCCCCCCCCCAUCCCUCCAGGUCUUUCCCAGUGCGGAGACCAGUGCCAGGGCAAAACAGAGAUGUGCCAAUGCUACAAUAGUACACAUGACACCACGUGUUUGAUUGGGUUUUUUCAAACGUGUGACUUCACCAUAGGACCUCAGUUUAGAGUUUUAAUGUAAGUAGGCAGGGGAAAAGAAACCACAGUAUGCUAUGUUUAGAUUAGAGGAUUCUGUUAACUGCAUAUUAAUAUGACGGGUUAAAAGGGAUUUUAGAGGUGCUAGACUACCAUUGGUUUGUGUCCAUUUAAUGUACUUAAGUGAAGAUUUUUGUGCUAAGAGUAAGGUUAGUAUUCACAAUACUAUCAUUAAAAAUGCCAAAUGUUUUAUUUUGCCCGAUUUUCAUGUUAUGCAAGUUCUUUUAUCCAUUGGAGAUAUUAGAUAUUUUUUAUUUUACAUAGCAAUAAAAUAGUUUAACACAUGCAUUAUAUACUUUGUGUCAGUGUGAUGAAGAACAACGUUUAAAUCUGUUCUUUCGGGAACAUUCCGUUUCUUGCCUAAUUAAAUCAUUAAUUAUUGCUUAAUACAGAAUUCAGAUUCCGGUUUCUGCUCACUUCAUUUUUCAUCGAUAAUUAAGCAAUAAUGAAUCAUAUCGUUUGGCG